rnacentral:rRNA from 1 species
UACGUAGGGGGCAAGCGUUGUCCGGAUUUAUUGGGCGUAAAGAGCUCGUAGGCGGUUCAGCAAGUCGGGUGUGAAAACUCUGGGCUCAACCCAGAGACGCCACCCGAUACUGCUGUGACUAGAGUCCGGUAGGGGAGUGGGGAAUUCCUGGUGUAGCGGUGAAAUGCGCAGAUAUCAGGAGGAACACCGGUGGCGAAGGCGCCACUCUGGGCCGGCACUGACGCUGAGGAGCGAAAGCGUGGGUAGCAAACAGG